CACCACUUGUACUUUGGCAUGUCGACAUUUGCACAUAAAAGAAAAAGGCAAGCCACUUAUGCUGAACCCAAGAACAAACAAGGGAAUGGCAUUUACUUUACAAGAACGACAAAUGCUUGGUCUUCAAGGACUUCUACCUCCCAAAAUAGAGACACAAGAUAUUCAAGCCUUACGAUUUCAUAGAAACUUGAAGAAAAUGACUAGCCCUUUGGAAAAAUAUAUCUACAUAAUGGGAAUACAAGAAAGAAAUGAGAAAUUGUUUUAUAGAAUACUGCAAGAUGACAUUGAGAGUUUAAUGCCAAUUGUGUAUACACCGACGGUUGGUCUUGCCUGCUCCCAGUAUGGACACAUCUUUAGAAGACCUAAGUAAGGCUUAUUUUAAAAAAAAAACUUGUAAAUGAUUACUGAAUAAGGAAAAUAUCAUUCCAUAACACCCAUUACAUUUCUAUUUUAUGUAUCUUAGCCAAAUCACAUUUCCCACCUGAGAAAAACGUAAUUUUGAUUAAAAGAUUAACAAAAUCCCAACAAAUUCAUAACUUUUAUCUUUGUAAAAAUAGCAUAAUUCAUUUCUAAUCUUCUUUAAAUUAUUGUGAUUGUUAGAGGAAUUACAUACUUUUGGAACCUGCCCCCCCACCAAAAAAAGUCUUAAUUCUGGUGGGAGAUUCUCCAGAAUUAUCA
rnacentral:sRNA from 1 species